AGUGAACGCUGGCGGUAGGCCUAACACAUGCAAGUCGACCGGCAGCACAGUAAGAGCUUGCUCUUACGGGUGGCGAGUGGCGGACGGGUGAGGAAUACAUCGGAAUCUACUUUUUCGUGGGGGAUAACGUAGGGAAACUUACGCUAAUACCGCAUACGACCUACGGGUGAAAGCAGGGGAUCUUCGGACCUUGCGCGAUUGAAUGAGCCGAUGUCGGAUUAGCUAGUUGGCGGGGUAAAGGCCCACCAAGGCGACGAUCCGUAGCUGGUCUGAGAGGAUGAUCAGCCACACUGGAACUGAGACACGGUCCAGACUCCUACGGGAGGCAGCAGUGGGGAAUAUUGGACAAUGGGCGCAAGCCUGAUCCAGCCAUACCGCGUGGGUGAAGAAGGCCUUCGGGUUGUAAAGCCCUUUUGUUGGGAAAGAAAAGCAGCAGGUUAAUACCCCGCUGUUCUGACGGUACCCAAAGAAUAAGCACCGGCUAACUUCG
rnacentral:rRNA from 1 species